GCAAUGAAGUUUGGAGGAGCUGACAGAAGGGAUGAGAAGCUUCUGUUUAUGGAGAUACUUCUGUUUAUGCCACUGAAGUAGCAAGCAAGGCUGGCCUAAUCAGUUAAUUAUUUCAGGAGUGAGGCAAAACAGCAAUGAAAAACAGGUUGCAGAGCUAGAAAUGAGAGAAACCAUCUACUGGCUAAAAUGAUCAGAUUUGAAUGGAGCAAGACAGAGACUCUAUAUAACUCAGGCUGGGCUCUAACUUACAGUCCUCCUGCCUCGACCUGCCAAAUAAUGGAAUACAGCUUUUGAGGAAUCUCCAUCCUGAUUUCCAUAGCAGUUGUACUAGUUUACAUUCCUAACAACAGCAUUGGAAGUUCUCCUCAAGUUGCCCAAGCCGGCCUGGAACUCACAAUUCUCCUGCCUCAGGCUCCUGGUGCUAGGAUUACAGCCACGCACCACCAUGCCCAGCUGUUUACAGAUUUUUGCUCUGGCUUGCUUGCACUUGCCUUCUGGUAUACACUGGAGCAAGGUUUUCUCCAAGGUGCAUGCCCAAGGAUGGACUUACCAUGUUGUAGAGUGGGUACAUCAUCAGAUUUACCAGGUGAUGCCAAAAUGUUUCUCCAAGUGCUCUACUCAUCCUGUCCUUUUCUCCACCAGCAGAGCAUAAGUAGAGCUUCUAUUGUUCCACAUCAUCAGAAAGACUUGAUACACUUGGACUUUAAAAGUGUUGCCUACCUGAUGGCGUGAAGUGAGAGUUCACUUAGAUUCCAGUUGCAUUGCCUUCCUUCCCAGUGGGCUGAGCGUCUUUCCCACCGUUUACUGGCUAUCUGGGGUUGCUCUUCCAUGAAGUGCCUGUUGGUACCUCUCCCUUUUAAAGUCUUUUGUUAAGCUAACACUUUUUAUUGAAAUUAUUUGUGCUAAAAUUUAUCUGUUUUCUUUACAUUUUAAUGUAACAUUUAAAUUUUAAUAUACCCUUUAAUCCAACAGUGAACAUAGCAUGAUGUUAAUUUAUCAUUUGAAAUAUACAUAUAAAUUUAAUGU
rnacentral:lncRNA from 1 species